GAUGAACGCUGGCGGCGUGCCUAAUACAUGCAAGUCGAGCGAACAGACGAGGAGCUUGCUCCUCUGACGUUAGCGGCGGACGGGUGAGUAACACGUGGAUAACCUACCUAUAAGACUGGGAUAACUUCGGGAAACCGGAGCUAAUACCGGAUAAUAUAUUGAACCGCAUGGUUCAAUAGUGAAAGUCGGUUUUGCUGUCACUUAUAGAUGGAUCCGCGCCGCAUUAGCUAGUUGGUAAGGUAACGGCUUACCAAGGCAACGAUGCGUAGCCGACCUGAGAGGGUGAUCGGCCACACUGGAACUGAGACACGGUCCAGACGCCUACGGGAGGCAGCAGUAGGGAAUCUUACGCAAUGGGCGAAAGCCUGACGGAGCAACGCCGCGUGAGUGAUGAAGGUCUUCGGAUCGGAAAACUCUGUUAUUAGGGAAGAACAAAUGUGUAAGUAACUAUGCACGUCUUGACGGUACCUAAUCAGAAAGCCACGGCUAACUACGUG
rnacentral:rRNA from 1 species